AAUAUUUGGUUUAGACUUUAGAUGUUUUUAAGCGCGAAAUAAUUCAAUUUGUUUUUAAACUAGUGCUAAUAUAAAAAAAUGUCUCAGUCGUGCAGCACCGAAAAAUUAAAUUCUUUAUUAGACUUUCUACAUGACCAUAAAGACUUGGCAAGAGUCCUUAGUAGGGCACUAAGGACUGCUGAUGCAAUGGCCCGAGCUAAGAGGUUGUGGGAGGAAAUAACACAGCUGCUCAAUUCUUUGGGCGGCAGCAAUGGCAAAAGGUGAGCAGCUGUGCGAAGGAUGCAUACAGGCACAGGUGGUGGACCAUUAUCCACUUCCCUGGCACAAUGGGAACUAAGAGUUUUAGAAAUAAUGGGAGAAGGAUUUGGGGGGCCACAAACCACAUCUCGUGUGUCAGCCUUUCCCACAAAUAAUAUUGAGGAAGAAGUAGCUCAGAACGUAGUGGAACCCGAUGUCAUGACCCAACCUGAAAUCCCAUUUUCUAAUGAGAGUUAGGAUUUAAUUGGUACAUCAGACAAUCUUGGUGGCAUCUCUCGUUGUGCAUCUACAAUGGAAAUUUCUACUGAAAAUGCACAAAUAGAUGUAUAUUCAUGGCCAGGCCAAGAUCAGCCUAAACAGCCGGCAUCAUCCCGUAUUAAUUGUCCAUCUCGGCGUGUAACCAGCCAACGACCAGGGCAAGUAGGAAGAAUAAGCGACUGUUUAAUCCAGUUGGAACAGGAAAAAAUUAUACUACUAAGUACUCUCAAUACAAGACUCCGAUAUUGAAAAAGCCAUAAUAGAAUUAAUUAAAUUAAAACAGAAUAGUACAAACAAUUAGCCAUUGAUGUUAUAUUGUUUCUUAAAUAGUGUUUAUUUUGUUUUUUAAUAUUAAGUACACAUAAAAA